UUCGAGGUGCGCGCAUUCGCUCGCGGGAACGCAAGUUUUCGCGAGAGGAAAGUCCGGACACCGCAGGGCAGGAUUCCCCGUGAAAACGGGGGCGGCGUGUCGCAAGGCACGUCGACGGACAGUGUCACAGAAAACAGACCGCCCGUGCGGCAACGUGCGGGUAAGGGUGAAACGGCGAGGUAAGAGCUCACCGCUCCGACGGCGACGAAGGAGGCAGGACAAACCCAAUCCGGUGCAAGACAAAAUAGGCGAGCGGGCGGCCCGUCCGAUGCUCGCGGGUAUGUCGCACCGCCGUAAGGCGGGAGGCGCGGCAACGCGCUUCAGAGGAAUGAAUGCGAACGCGGGAACGCGAAAGCUCCCCGCGCUACGGAAUCCGGCUUACAGCACCUCGAAGGCU
rnacentral:RNase_P_RNA from 1 species